ACGGGUGAGUAACACGUGGGCAUCCUGCCCUUGAGACUGGGAUAACUUCGGGAAACCGGAGCUAAUACCGGAUAAUAUAAGGAACCUCCUGGUUCCUUGUUGAAAGAUGGUUUCGGCUAUCACUUAAGGAUGGGCCCGCGGCGCAUUAGCUAGUUGGUGAGGUAACGGCUCACCAAGGCGACGAUGCGUAGCCGACCUGAGAGGGUGAUCGGCCACACUGGGACUGAGACACGGCCCAGACUCCUACGGGAGGCAGCAGUAGGGAAUCUUCCACAAUGGACGAAAGUCUGAUGGAGCAACGCCGCGUGAGUGAUGAAGGCCUUCGGGUCGUAAAGCUCUGUUGUUAGGGAAGAACAAGUGCGAGAGUAACUGCUCGCACCUUGACGGUACCUAACCAGAAAGCCACGGCUAACUACGUGCCAGCAGCCGCGGUAAUACGUAGGUGGCAAGCGUUAUCCGGAAUUAUUGGGCGUAAAGCGCGCGCAGGUGGUUUCUUAAGUCUGAUGUGAAAGCCCACGGCUCAACCGUGGAGGGUCAUUGGAAACUGGGGAACUUGAGUGCAGAAGAGGAAAGUGGAAUUCCA
rnacentral:rRNA from 1 species